UGCGCCGAUCGCCUUGAGUUGAUCAUGGCUCAGAACGAACGCUGGCGGCAGGCUUAACACAUGCAAGUCGAACGCAUCCUUCGGGAUGAGUGGCAGACGGGUGAGUAACGCGUGGGAACGUGCCCUUCAGUUCGGAAUAACCCAGGGAAACUUGGGCUAAUACCGGAUACGUGCGAGAGCAGAAAGAUUUAUCGCUGAAGGAUCGGCCCGCGUCUGAUUAGCUAGUUGGUGGGGUAAUGGCCCACCAAGGCGACGAUCAGUAGCUGGUCUGAGAGGAUGAUCAGCCACAUUGGGACUGAGACACGGCCCAAACUCCUACGGGAGGCAGCAGUGGGGAAUAUUGGACAAUGGGCGCAAGCCUGAUCCAGCCAUGCCGCGUGAGUGAUGAAGGCCUUAGGGUUGUAAAGCUCUUUCAGUGGGGACGAUAAUGACGGUACCCGCAGAAGAAGCCCCGGCUAACUUCGUGCCAGCAGCCGCGGUAAUACGAAGGGGGCUAGCGUUGUUCGGAAUCACUGGGCGUAAAGGGCGCGUAGGCGGCUUUGUAAGUCGGGGGUGAAAGCCUGUGGCUCAACCACAGAAUUGCCUUCGAUACUGCAUGGCUUGAGACCGGAAGAGGUUAGUGGAACUGCGAGUGUAGAGGUGAAAUUCGUAGAUAUUCGCAAGAACACCAGUGGCGAAGGCGGCUAACUGGUCCGGUUCUGACGCUGAGGCGCGAAAGCGUGGGGAGCAAACAGGAUUAGAUACCCUGGUAGUCCACGCCGUAAACGAUGAAUGCCA
rnacentral:rRNA from 1 species